rnacentral:lncRNA from 1 species
AGGGGGUCGAGAGGGAGGAGGUUUCUUAGAGCACCAGAGAUGGCCACCUUAAAUCAGACAAUCCUGAAAGCACGAGCAACUGGACACUGUGUUUGACAUUCAACCCACCACCAACAGCAGCUUCAUGCGUCUACCACCAACUCUGGCUUCCUGGAUAUGCGACCUGUACAGGACCUCAGAAUCUUCCAUGUCAGACUCAGUGGGCUCACGGGCCCUGUUCUGCUCCCUCUUCACUGGGAUGCAGCAGGCCCAGAGAUGAAGUCUUCAGGCUUAGAAUUCCCACUGCCAGGAUUUAAACCCUGGCUCACCUCCUGCUAGCUGUGCACACUCGGAUAAAGACCUUAAUCUCUCUGUGUCUCCAUGAUUUCACCUAUGAAAUGGACGUGAUAAUGGUAUGCUAGUAAAGCAAUAAUUCAACAAGAAAUUUAGGACUCAAUGAAGUGAUGGUUUUAUUAUUGUUCUGAACCUGUAUGGCCCCAUUUAUCAAAGUUAAUGCUAGGAUGUCUGCAGGAAUUCAGCAGCUGCGUUGGAA